rnacentral:rRNA from 1 species
GCCCUUAUUACCGCGGCUGGUGGCACGGAGUUAGCCGGUGCUUCUUCUGCGGGUAACGUCAAUCGACANGGUUAUUAACCUUAUCGCCUUCCUCCCCGCUGAAAGUACUUUACAACCCGAAGGCCUUCUUCAUACACGCGGCAUGGCUGCAUCAGGCUUGCGCCCAUUGUGCAAUAUUCCCCACUGCUGCCUCCCGUAGGAGUCUGGACCGUGUCUCAGUUCCAGUGUGGCUGGUCAUCCUCUCAGACCAGCUAGGGAUCGUCGCCUAGGUGAGCCGUUACCCCACCUACUAGCUAAUCCCAUCUGGGCACAUCUGAUGGCAAGAGGCCCGAAGGUCCCCCUCUUUGGUCUUGCGACGUUAUGCGGUAUUAGCUACCGUUUCCAGNAGUUAUCCCCCUCCAUCAGGCAGUUUCCCAGACAUUACUCACCCGUCCGCCACUCGUCACCCGAGAGCAAGCUNUNUGUGCUACCGUUCGACUUGCAUGUGU